GAUCCUGGCUUAGGAUGAACGCUAGCGGCAGGCUUAACACAUGCAAGUCGAGGGGCAUCGGGAGUAGCAAUACUUGCCGGCGACCGGCGCAAGGGUGCGUAACGCGUGAGCAACAUGCCCGUAUCAGGGGGAUAAUCCGUGGAAACGUGGUCUAAUACCCCAUAGUAAUUAUGUAAGGCAUCUUAUAUAAUUUAAAGCUUUGGUGGAUACGGAUUGGCUCGCGUGACAUUAGCUGGAUGGUAAGGUAACGGCUUACCAUGGCUACGAUGUCUAGGGGUUCUGAGAGGAAGGUCCCCCACACUGGAACUGAGACACGGUCCAGACUCCUACGGGAGGCAGCAGCUAAGAAUCUUCCGCAAUGGGCGAAAGCCUGACGGAGCCGACGCCGCGUGAACGAAGAAGGCCGUGAGGUUGUAAAGUUCUUUUCGGGAGGGGGAACAACCGUGGCAGGGAAUGGCCGCGGGAUGACGUGAAUCCCGGAAUAAGCCCCGGCUAACUACGUGCCAGCAGCCGC
rnacentral:rRNA from 1 species